UACGGGGGGGGCAAGCGUUGUUCGGAAUUACUGGGCGUAAAGGGCUCGUAGGCGGCCAACUAAGUCAGACGUGAAAUCCCUCAGCUCAACUGGGAAACUGCGUCUGAGACUGGCGAGCUUGGGUGCAGGAGAGGAAUGCGGAAUUCCAGGUGUAGCGGUGAAAUGCGUAGAUAUCUGGAGGAACACCGGUGGCGAAGGCGGCGUUCUGGACUGCAACUGACACUGAGGAACGAAAGCCAGGGGAGCAAACGGG
rnacentral:rRNA from 1 species